rnacentral:snRNA from 1 species
GUCGUCUCGCUUUGGCAGGACAUACACUAAAAUUGGGACAAUAAGGAGAAGAUUAGCAUGGCCUCUGCCUAAGGUGAGAGGUAUGUUUGUGAAGUGUUCCAUAUUUUA